CUAAAGUGCUGCACCGUGUGUAUGCACUGUUACGGCCGAGUUUGAGUGUGGCACUCUGGGUCCUUCCUCGGCUCCUGUUCUCCUCAGUGGUUAACUUAAGGCUGAGAGACUUCUAGCAACUGCUGCCUCUAAGGAGAACAGCCAUCACAUCCAUGGCAGGGAUUUUGCGCUCGAUAGUUCAGAGGCCCCCAGGGAGACUACAAACGGCAACAAAAGGUGUGGAACCUCUUGUUUGUACAGACUGGAUUCGUCACAAAUUUACGAGGUCAAGAAUUCCAGAUGAAGUUUUUCGGCCUUCACCUGAAGAUCAUGAAAAAUACGGUGGGGAUCCACAGCAACCUCAUAAACUGCAUAUUGUUACCAGAAUAAAAAGUACAAAAAGACGUCCAUAUUGGGAGAAAGAUAUAAUAAAGAUGCUUGGGUUACAAAAAGCACACACUCCUCAAGUUCACAAGAAUAUCCCUUCAGUGAAUGCAAAGCUGAAAGUGGUUAAACAUUUGAUAAGAAUCAAGCCCCUGAAGCUGCCCCAGGGUCUCCCAACAGAGGAGGACAUGUCCAACACGUGCCUGAAGAGCACUGGCGAGCUGGUUGUGCGGUGGCUUCUGAACCCCACGGACCAGGAAGCGAAGAAGUGCUGACAGCCCAGCAGCUUCAGAGUAAAAAGUGGAAGUCAUUUCUAUUUAAAGAUGAUACUUGAAGGGGUGGGGAGAAGUAAGAAUUUCAGCAGAGGUUCAGUACUGGGAGAUCCUGUGGCAGCUCAUAACUAAAGAUGAUGCUGAAGACUCGGAAUUCUAGUUGCCCUUUAUUUUCCUAAAACCUGGCUCAGGCAGCAGUAACAUUGGCAUACUUGCUGCCUGUGGUCCUCUGUCUGUCCUGUCAAAAUCUGGGCAUCAAGCAGAAGUGCUGCCUGAAGUGAAGCCAGAUCCAUGAAUUAAUAAGCUUCAAGGCAGUCACAGUUUCAGUUCUACAAUUACUGAACAUCCGGUACGAAUAUAGCCUGGAGAGGAUAUAAAGUGGAAGGAUACUGACUUCACAGGGCUGGUUCUAACUGGAGAGAUGCCUAUUUGCCACAACAGAAGCUGUCCAUGCUUUAGUUAGCUUGAGGCCAGUUGUGGAUAUGAAAGUUGCCCCUGCUGAUGUUUUCCCAUCUUUUACUGGGCUAAUAUUGUUUAACAUGGGGAGAGGACCAUUGGUUCAUUUUUACCCAAAGAGUCUAACAAAGUUUGGAUAAGUUAUUUUAACCUUAGCUGUGCCUGACUAAAGGAAAAUAUCUAAAUCUUCAUUUGGAUGUUUAGAAAUGAAAUUGUCCAGAAGAGUAAAAGCCUGUCGGGAGAUGAGCACAGGCUAGAGCGUUUGUUUUCUGUUUUCAUGUGACAUAGUACCACAGUCUCAGCUGCUUAAAACCACAUGUGCUCAUUAUCCCACUGUUUGUCUGGGUCAGGCAUCUGGGCAUGGCUUAACUUGCUAGUCCACCUAGGGUCUGACAAGGUUACAAAAAAGGUAUCAGCCAAAACUGGCCUCUUGUCAGAGCCUUGACAGAACGGGUAUCUGCUUCUAAGCUCUUCCAGGUUGUUGCCAGAAUUCAUUUCCUUGUGGCUAUAAAAUUCAAGGCAAGUUGCUUCUUUAAAAGCAGCAUCAGAGUGAGAGACUCCAGCAAGAUGGGUGCUACCUCUUAGGUAGCCAUGUAAAUGCAGUCAUCUGGAUUCCAUCUCCUUUGUUGCAUUCCACUGGUUAGAAGCAAGUCACAGGUCCAGCCCACAUUCAAGGAGGAGGGAAGUUCCACAAAGGCAUGACUGCCAGGGGCCGGGAUCCAGGGGGUUUCCAUGAAGUUGAUAUGCCAAGCCUGGUCAAGUCCAUCCUCAAGCUGGACAAGGGGAAUCCCGAGAUUCAUACUCCUUUGCCUCCCAUCAUUUCAAACCUUUUAGGGACUUCUUCUCUCCUGUAUUUGUGUCUCUGAGAAUUGCUUUAUUUCAGAAGGUUUGUCUGGCCACUCCUUGGUGAAACCGUAGGCCCUUUGGUCAGGCUCAGGGGAGAUAAAGUUACCCAAGUACUAUCUUUUUAAGAGCCUCUCCAGUUCCCAGGGCCUUCUCAAUCUAAAUGGUGCCUCUUUCAGUCCAAACACCUGUUUUCUUCAUCUUUUCUUGUUAACAGUACUAACUGUUAAUAGUAUGUUUAUCAUUCUAUCACAAGUUCACCAAAGUUUGGAAUUGCACUGGCCGUUUUAGGAAGCUUUUGGCAUGAGCAAGAUUGUGUGUUUGGGAGGUACUUUAGAACAAAAAGUAAAGAAAUCUCGAUGAAGACAUUAUUUGUCUGGCAUUGGAACAUGUAUAAUAUCAUAUAAGAAACGAAUUGCCAGUCUAGGUUCAAUGCAGGGUGCAGGAUGCUUGG